AUGGUGAAGGAGAAGGGGAAUGAGAAGGGAAAGGGUGCUGGUAAGGAGAAUGCGAAGGCAAAGGCAAAGGAGAAAAGCGUGAAUUACCUAAUUAGACAAGAUUCGGCGUUGCCUCCGCCGGUUCCGAGGAAGAAGAGGAAGCCUAAGGUGCAGAUUAAGAAGGCGAAAGACUUUCCCAAUGCCCCAACGGGAGAGUUGAUUUGUAGGUUAAAAAACACCAUCCACCUCCGAGGCGUCUCCCCGACCGCACCAGUGCUGGCGUGCGUGCCGCGGAAGCCGCUGCCUCUACUAUUGUGGUAG
rnacentral:rRNA from 1 species